rnacentral:rRNA from 1 species
GGUUUGUCGCGUCUGCCGUGAAAGUCCGGGGCUUAACCCCGGAUCUGCGGUGGGUACGGGCAGACUUGAGUGAUGUAGGGGAGACUGGAAUUCCUGGUGUAGCGGUGAAAUGCGCAGAUAUCAGGAGGAACACCGAUGGCGAAGGCAGGUCUCUGGGCAUUAACUGACGCUGAGGAGCGAAAGCAUGGGGAGCGAACAGGAUUAGAUACCCUGGUAGUCCAUGCCGUAAACGUUGGGCGCUAGGUGUGGGGGACAUUCCACGUUUUCCGCGCCGUAGCUAACGCAUUAAGUGCCCCGCCUGGGGAGUACGGCCGCAAGGCUAAAACUCAAAGGAAUUGACGGGGGCCCGCACAAGCGGCGGAGCAUGCGGAUUAAUUCGAUGCAACGCGAAGAACCUUACCAAGGCUUGACAUGAACCGGAACGGCGCAGAGAUGUGUCGGCCACUUGUGGCCGGUUUACAGGUGGUGCAUGGUUGUCGUCAGCUCGUGUCGUGAGAUGUUGGGUUAAGUCCCGCAACGAGCGCAACCCUCGUUCCAUGUUGCCAGCGGGUUAUGCCGGGGACUCAUGGGAGACUGCCGGGGUCAACUCGGAGGAAGGUGGGGACGACGUCAAAUCAUCAUGCCCCUUAUGUCUUGGGCUUCACGCAUGCUACAAUGGCCGGUACAAAGGGUUGCGAUGCUGUGAGGUGGAGCUAAUCCCAAAAAGCCGGUCUCAGUUCGGAUUGAGGUCUGCAACUCGACCUCAUGAAGUCGGAGUCGCUAGUAAUCGCAG